rnacentral:rRNA from 1 species
AAUCUUUUAGAAAUAAAAGAGUGCCUCAUUAGAGGAGCCUGGUGACAGGUGCUGCAUGGCUGUCGUCAGCUCGUGUCGUGAGAUGUUGGGUUAAGUCCCGCAACGAGCGCAACCCUUGCCUUUAGUUGCCAUCAUUUAGUUGGGCACUCUAGAGGGACUGCCGGUGUCAAACCGGAGGAAGGUGGGGAUGACGUCAAGUCCUCAUGGCCUUUAUGACCAGGGCUACACACGUACUACAAUGGCAUGUACAAAGGGCAGCCACAGGGUGACCUGGAGCGAAUCCUUAAAACAUGUCUCAGUCCGGAUUGGAGUCUGCAACUCGACUCCAUGAAGUUGGAAUCGCUAGUAAUCGUAGAUCAGCAUGCUACGGUGAAUACGUUCCCGGGCCUUGUACACACCGCCCGUCACACCACGGGGGUUGGUUGUACCAGAAGUAGUUGAGCGAACUUUUCGAAGACGCAGGCUACCAAGGUAUGGUCGGUAACUGGGGUGAAGUCGUAACAAGGUA